UACCUCUUGUUUUGAUGGGCUUCAAAAAUGCCCUUGUCAUACAAUAAAUAUGCCCUCAUGCAUUCAUAAGUCCGUUUGGGUCCAUUGGUACAGUUUCCUUCUUUCCAUGUUUACCCUUUCUCCUGUAAUGUUAGAUCGAACCAGUUCCUGAAAAUUUUAGUUUUAAUUUGUUCUUCUGUCUCUCUUUCUCUUUCAACCACCACCAGCACUUAUGCACUACUACCAGCAGCUCCGCCACCACCACCAUCACGUCCUCUGUUAUUAUCAGCGAAUCUAUUAAUAUGUUUGUGUUCGAUUUCAACUCAUUUGAACCUGUUAUUUAUUGUUCUUCAUCUUCUUAUGUGAAACAUUGGUAUUCCAGAUUCAGAGAUCGACAGGUCUUUGAUUUUUGAUUUCAUAUUUUUGUCGCUAUUUUUGUGCUCGAUUUCAACCUAUUUCAACUUCUUAUAAAUUGUUCUUCAUCUUUCUAGGUUAAAAACUGAAUAAUUUUAAUGAGCUGUUUAUGAAUUGAUCGAAUACUUAUUGAAUAUCAUUAAUUGAUGAGAUUCAAUUUAAUUCGAAGUAUUCAUUUUCAAUAACGAUUGAACUGAAUGUUUCAAUUGAAGGUCGUUCACCGGUAGUGUUGGUGUUGUUGCAGCGGUGAUGGUGGUGGCGGAGGAUUUCAACUCUUUGAUCAUUUUGUAGAUGAUGAUGGUAGUGGUAGUGGUGGCGGUGGUUGAGGAGGAUAUCAAACUUAUGUUUUAUUAGUUGAUGGUGGUGGCGGUGGUGGAGGAGAAAAAAAUUAGUGAAGAUGUACUAAUGCAUCAUGUCCAUGGGGUUGAUGCUAAUAGAGAUGAUCUUCAUAUCAGUUGUUGACACCUAAUAUUGAUGGCGGCGGUAGCGGCGGCGGCGGCAACAACAACAAUGGUGAUGGUGUGUGGCGGUGGUGGAAUAUUAUUGGUGGUUGUAUUUAGUAAGUGGUGGUGGCGGCGGCGGUGCUGUUGGUGGUGGUGAAAUGGUGCUGCUGGUGGAUGUGAAAUAAUAGAAAAAUCUAUUUUUUAAUGGAUAAAAUUUUAAAUGGAAAAUAACAUUGUAAGUGAGGGUAUCAAGGUAAUUUAUUUUUUAAUGGAUAAGAUAUUUAAAUGAUAGGGGUAUUUAUAUUGUUGUAUAAGGGUAUAUUUAUUGGGAGUCAAAACUAAGAGUAUUUAAUAAAUUUACCCUAAUAAUUUUGGACUUGGAAGAGGUAUUCUAAGAGAGAUAGAGUAAGUAUUAGAUGUUAGCAGAGAAACUAUCAUGUAAUCUUACCUUUUCCCUUCCACUUAAAGGUAUGCGACUAAAUUGU